rnacentral:rRNA from 1 species
UACGUAGGCAGCGAGCGUUGUUCGGAGUUACUGGGCGUAAAGGGUGCGUAGGCGGUUGGUUAAGUUUGGUGUGAAAUCUCCCGGCUCAACUGGGGGGGUGCGCCGAAUACUGAAUGACUAGAGUGCGGGAGAGGAUAGUGGAAUUCCUGGUGUAGCGGUGAAAUGCGUAGAUAUCAGGAGGAACACCGGUGGUGUAGACGGCUAUCUGGACCGUAACUGACGCUGAGGCACGAAAGCGUGGGUAGCAAACAGG